GACCGGUGAUCGAAGCGCUAGCACCGUAGCACGCGUGUGCACACCACCAGCGCACCAAAAAACCUCCAUAAAAACACGCCCUUUUGCCGCUAUCUACUGCUCGUAGCACCUGCUUUUUUGCGUGGGCCGGCCGGACUCGUCGAUCUCGUCUUCAUCAUCGCGCGCUGAACAGAAGAAUCAGCGGCGGCGCAUGCACGCCAAUCGAGGCAGCGAUGAUCGUCCAAACCUCUGACCUACACAAAGUCACAAACCAGGCUGGACUGGACUACUGCAGUGCUCUACGAUCAGGUACAAUACCAUUCUAUAAUACCAUUCUCUUGAUUUAUCUACUUAAACUUAUUUUAAGUAGAUAAAUCAAGAGAGAGAAAAGCAACGGGCUACAGAUUUAUAGCUAGCUGUAGCACGGACUCCAAGACGCAGUGUAUCUAUGACAGGUGGGAUUAUGUAUUAAUAGUGUAGUAUGUAACUAUUGUAUUAAUGAACUAUUAGAUUAGCUAUAAAUGAAUUGGAGUUAGUAGUUGGCUAUACUAUUGAACUUGCUCUAAGUCAGUUAUACUAACUUAUAAACACAUUUUAAAAAGAUAAAAGAAGAGAGAGAAAAGCGGCGUGCUAUAGAUUUGUAGCCAGCUGCAACACGGACUCUAAAACGCAAUGUAUAUAUGAUACGUGGGACCAGAUAUUAAAAGUGUAGUAUAUAUUUAUAUGUAACUAUUGUAUAAAUUGGCUAUUAAGUAACUAUAGAUGAUUUGAACCUAGCAGCUGACUGUACUAUUAAACUUGCCCUACUAGCUGCGGUGUGUGUGGCACUUUUGAUCUUCUCUGUGCUCUCAGCCUCGCUCGAUCGCCACUUAAGUCGAUAUAAAAAUUGGACGCCUACUCCAGAAUUGAGUAGUGCAACAACCGCCAGCUACUUGGAAAAUUCUCCCUUUCGUGUCAUCAUGUUCCCCUUCUCUCGCAAUCGGCAGGUGCCAUUUCUCAAAGUGGAAGGCGGUGUUGACCUACUUGGCUGCAUCUAGAAUCUACCACAUAUUCAACCCAGUAUGACGUGUUCGAACAUUGGACUCUCGUCAACCGCAAGCUGAUCCCAUUAUUCUCAUUGGCCGCAUGGAUCGGCAGCUGCAGCUGGGACCCAUCCACAGGUACAAGCCACAUUAUGGCUGUGUUUAGAUUCAUAGUUUGGAUCCAAACUUCAGUCCUUUUCCAUCACAUCAACCUGUCAUACACAGAUAACUUUUCAGUCAUAUCAUCUCUAAUUUCAAUCAAAAUUAAAACUUUACGCUGAAACACAACCUAUAACUAGGAUAUAUACGUACUGCACGAGAGAACGUGCUGGUGCACGAGACUUGCGGCUUGUGGGCGCACGGCAUGCAUGGUCCAGGUUUCCAACCGCAGCCUGCCUGCUUCGCCCAUCCGUGCAACGACCCCCCAACUCUGAAAGGCUGCUCCGAAAUCUCUGAACUAUGAUUAGCAGAUUAGGUUUGACAUUAUAAUCACCUCAUUAAUUACUGCCAGGUGUUUACUGUCAUUCUCCCUACUUGACCCAUUUUUUGUCCCCGGGUCGACGUCACAAAAAAAGGCUGAGCAUGAUUACGCACCGCUAGUUUCACUUUCAUCGGUUGGGUGAGUGACUCAUCCAGCCGUGUGUAUGUACAAAGUGAGAUGAGAACACCAAACUCACCGUCACGUCAGGUGAGUACGCGCACUAGAUGAAAACUGUCUAGAAAAUUAUCGAACAACUGAACAUCUUUUCUGGGUAAAUGAUACU